UACGGAGGGUGCGAGCGUUAAUCGGAAUUACUGGGCGUAAAGCGCGCGUAGGUGGUCUGUUAAGUCGGAUGUGAAAGCCCCGGGCUCAACCUGGGAACUGCAUCCGAUACUGGAUAACUAGAAUGCGGGAGAGGGAGGUAGAAUUCCAUGUGUAGCAGUGAAAUGCGUAGAUAUAUGGAGGAAUACCAGUGGCGAAGGCGGCCUCCUGGCUUAACACUGACGCUGAGGUGCGAAAGCGUGGGUAGCAAACAGG
rnacentral:rRNA from 1 species